rnacentral:misc_RNA from 1 species
GGGUUACGAGUGUAAGGAUCUAGCGAGCCAACCUCCCACCCGUGUUUACUGUACCUUAGUUGCUUCGGCGGGCCCGCCAUUCAUGGCCGCCGGGGGCUCUCAGCCCCGGGCCCGCGCCCGCCGGAGACACCACGAACUCUGUCUGAUCUAGUGAAGUCUGAGUUGAUUGUAUCGCAAUCAGUUAAAACUUUCAACAAUGGAUCUCUUGGUUCCGGCAUCGAUGAAGAACGCAGCGAAAUGCGAUAACUAGUGUGAAUUGCAGAAUUCCGUGAAUCAUCGAGUCUUUGAACGCACAUUGCGCCCCCUGGUAUUCCGGGGGGCAUGCCUGUCCGAGCGUCAUUGCUGCCCAUCAAGCACGGCUUGUGUGUUGGGUCGUCCUCCCCUCUCCGGGGAGGAUGGACCCCAAGGGUAGCGGGGGCACCGUAGCUUAUCCACUCGGGUAUGGGUCUUUCUCACGCUCUCUUUAGGAAACCGAUGGUUCUUUGUUUUACGCUUAUAUUUUUUUUUGGUUUUGCCUCUCGCUUUUUUUUG